GUCUAUGGCCAUGAUACCCUGAACAAGCCUGAUCCCAUUUGAUCUCGGAAGCUAAGCAGGGUGAGGCCUGGUUAGUAUUUGGAUGGGAGACCACCUAGGAAGACCGGGUGCUGUAGGCA
rnacentral:rRNA from 1 species